GAUCGAGCAAAAGUUAUUUCAUGCCAAUGCAAUAAAUAUCUCUCUUAAAUUCUCACUGAGUCAAGAAGAAGAUUCCUCACUCUUGAAACAAAAUGAGUAUCUUGUCAUACUGGGAUUCCUUCAAUUCCUUAAGUUUACAAAAUCUGAUCUAGCCUUUGCUGUAAAUAAGUUAGCUUAGUUUUCAAGCAAGCAGACUGAACAAGACUUGACAGUCCUCAAGCAUGUGUUGAGGUAUCUUCAAGGCACUACUGAUCAUGGUCUCUUCAUCUAUCGAGAUUCUCCUCUAAUGGGCUUUCCUUGAUGCAAAUUGGGGCUGAAACAAGGAUGAUCAGAGCUCCACUGGUGGUUUCAUUGUGUUUGUUGGCCAAAAUCCUAUCUCUUGGGCAUCCCACAAGCAGUAGGGCAUUGCGGUCAUCAACAAAAGCAGAAUAUUGUGCCAUCUUGAAUGCCAAUGCCUAACUCUGUUGGGUCAUAAAUUUAUUUCAAUCACUCUACGGAAAAUGGGGAUUCUUUUGAAUGUGAAAUGCUUCACUUUUAACUUCCAGAUUGAACCAGCUUCACACGCCGGGUUGGGGUGCUUGUAAAGUUCAUAUAUGGACUCAGCUUCUUCAUUCAGCCUGCCCACUUUCUUUAAACAGUCAAUUUCAUCUGGAUCAACUAGCAAGGGCCACAUGUGGCAGUGACAAGAUAUUACAGGACAUGGAUUACUGGGAUGUUGUUAAUUGGUUAAAGGUUGAUGGAAGAAAGUCCAACCUCAGAGUAGCUCAGAAAAUGAUUACAGAGGCUCUUGCAUUAUGGAAAGGCUGGAAAAAUAUUUGAAUUGGUUGCCGUUGGUAUGCAUUUUCUAAAUGUAGAUGUUUGACAUUUUCAGUUAAUAAUGCAACUCAAUCAUUUUCCUUCAGGUUGCAUGGAUUUUAUGUUUUAGUUUUUGAGUCUAGUUAAUUACUAAAACAUAUACACAUAAAAAAGAAAGGCAACCUAGUGUUACUUCUAGAAAUAAAGGAAGUUUAAUCCAUGAGCUGUUUGAUCUCAACAUUUUGGCCAAAAGUGCAACCAGCUUGGAUGAUAGAGAUGCCAAUCAUAGGAUCGAAGUGGAGUGAAUGAGAUGGGGAAAUGCAUUGAAACUCUUUGUUUCAAUAGAUUAUAACCUGUACAUGCUGGGAGAAAACUUUGUUUACUGCUAGCUACUGUAUUAAGCCAUUAAGCCUAUGCAAUUGAAAUCAUUCAGUUUGCUAAAGAAACUAUCAGUGAAAGUUGAUGAGGCUGAGAAAGUGACUCUUACCAGUUCUGCUGUAUGAACCAUGUCUGCAUGACCUUUGGAGCUGAGGGCUCUGUAUAUGACAUCUGAUUCUUUGAAUGCAUCUGCCUCGAUCACUACUGCAUUUCCUGCUGCGCCAGCCCAGAAUGUUCUGUUCAUAUUUUAAGCAAAACACUCAACAUUAGUUCCUUGAACAAAAGGAGACUAAUUGUCUGCUACGUUAUGAUCGAGUUACUCGGUGAUAAGUGUCGGAUAUAGGACGAGCUUACUCUUUGAGGAUGUCCUUAAGGACGGUACUCUUCCCAGCUCCCAUCCCACCUCCCAUGAGUAGCAGCACUGGGCUUCUAUCACUGUGAGCCACUGGAGCCAUCACCUCUGUACAUCGGGAAUCAUCAGUUGAGAGCAAAGGGCAAUGUCUUCUAUCUUUAAAUCCCAUCUGCCUAGCUGAAACAGGGAAGAAACAAGACAACAGACAAAGAGGGCUUCAAAGCUUCACGUUGAUGGAUAACGAAGCCAAUACAAGACCAUGUGACAAAUCUUAUAUGAGUUAAUUAUUUUACCUACGUAAUGAGGGAAGCUUUCGAGAUUUUCAAUGCGACCAUGGCCUGUGUCCCUUGCUCUUAAGCGUGGAAUGAUCUUUUGAUCCCUUCGCUUCUUUACAUGAUACCGCACUGCUGCUGCAACAAUUAUCCCGAUCGAUGAGGCUACCAGGAUCUGUGUGAAAGUGGGUUUAGUGUUACGAUCUGAACAAUUUACAUACGCAAAUCGGGUUGAAUAUGUUUGUCUUUUGUGUAAUGAAAUUAAGCUUGUCACUUUACCUCUCUACAUGUCUUUAAAUUCCAGAAACUAGAACUGUGUUCUUGGUCUGAAUCUGAUGAUAAUCCAAAUACGGGAAACAAAUUUGCCAUUA